rnacentral:rRNA from 1 species
GAUGAACGCUGGCGGCGUGCCUAAUACAUGCAAGUCGAGCGAACAGACGAGGAGCUUGCUCCUCUGACGUUAGCGGCGGACGGGUGAGUAACACGUGGAUAACCUACCUAUAAGACUGGGAUAACUUCGGGAAACCGGAGCUAAUACCGGAUAAUAUAUUGAACCGCAUGGUUCAAUAGUGAAAGACGGUUUUGCUGUCACUUAUAGAUGGAUCCGCGCCGCAUUAGCUAGUAGGUAAGGUAACGGCUUACCAAGGCAACGAUGCGUAGCCGACCUGAGAGGGUGAUCGGCCACACUGGAACGUAGACACGGUCCAGACUCCUACGGGAGGCAGCAGUAGGGAAUCUUCCGCAAUGGGCGAAAGCCUGACGGAGCAACGCCGCGUGAGUGAUGAAGGUCUUCGGAUCGUAAAACUCUGUUAUUAGGGAAGAACAAAUGUGUAAGUAACUAUGCACGUCUUGACGGUACCUAAUCAGAAAGCCACGGCUAACUACGUG